rnacentral:lncRNA from 1 species
CAUAAAGCAACUUGAAAAUACAAUCAGUGAAAUGAGCCCCAGGACCCUAGUUGAUACCCCAUGUUCUUCCAACAGAGAUUGUGGUGCAAGCUUGCCCCACAUAACCCAAGAGGUCUCUCCCCGGUCCUUGCUAGUUCUGGAUGAAGUGCCCCCUGCCCCAGAGCCCCCUACGUCCAUAUCUUCAGCUUCACGUAAGGGUUCCAGCACUACCCCACAGACAAGCCGGAUGCCAGUGCCCAUGACUUCUAAGAACAGACCCGGAAGCCUGGAUAAGGCCAGCAAGCCAUCCAAACUACAGGAUCCCCGCCAAUACCGUCAGGUAGUUUUACCUUAAACCCAAUUUCGGAUGGACACUAUUGCAAUUAAGAAGCCAGUCGCUGACUUAGUUCCUACUAAAUUCUGUGUUUUCUUUGUGAGAGAUCGUUUACGUAGACAUCCUGGAUCUGGGGGGCAUGGAGAAAGUCUAAAAGAACCUGCGUUAAACUUUUCACCACCCUCUUGCAUGCUUACAAUAAAACAUCUUUUACUUUGUGACUUC